UCUUUGCUAGUAUAUCGGUUAGUACACGCGCUUGUCAUGCGAGUGACUGGCACACUUCGUGCACUCGCGCGAAAGCUGGGUUCGACUCCCAGGCAGAGAG